GGGGUACCUGGGGCUAUGUUGCACCCGAGUGGAUCUCUGGUUUAGCGAUCACUACGAAAGCUGAUGUAUAUAGCUAUGGCAUGACAUUAUUGGAGUUAAUAGGUGGUCGACGCAAUGUAGAGUCACCACCUUCAGCUAAAGGUGAAGAGGGCGGAACAGAGGAGAAGUGGUUUUUCCCACCAUGGGCAGCACGCCAAAUAGUAGAAGGAAACAUUGCUGCAGUCAUGGAUGAAAGACUACAUGGAACGUACAAUCUCACAGAGGCAGAACGUGUGGGAUUGAUAGCGAUUUG
rnacentral:misc_RNA from 1 species